rnacentral:lncRNA from 10 species
UGAAAACCACCUACGGUAAUCUUCUGUACCUUCUGAAAAUCAUGGCGCCACAGAGAAUGGGGGGUAUUUGGAAGGCUGUGUUGCUUUCAUUUUCUUCCUAGGAUUAGUGUUAUGGGUUGAAUUAUGUUCCCUACCCCUUGCCCCGCAAAAGGAUUUUUUUUUGAGUAGGUGACACGGGUAAGUCCUAGCCGUCAGCACCUCAGAAUGCAAACUUAUUUGGAAAUAGAAUCUUUAUAGUGGUGAUAAAAUUAAAGUGAAGUCAAAAGGAUGAACCUUAAGCCAAUAAUGACUGGCGUCCUUAUAAAAAAGGGAGAUCUGAACACAGAGACAGACAUGCACAGAGGGCAGACAAUGUGAAGAGGCACAGGGAGAAGAUAUAAAAAAUGUAGUAUUUUUCAGAGGUUUGAGAUAGCAUGGAUAUAGCUGGGACCAGAACACAGCAAUAAACUGUGUGGGGAGAUUGAAAGUCAGAUGUGAAUUAAAAUAUUUUGCAGAUGCUUGUGUAGAUAGAUAAUGAUCUCAAGGUCCAGUUUACAUUUAUUUUCCCUGUGAUACCUUGGAACUACAUAAAUUGCCUAGAAAUUAGGCGUAAUCUCAGGAAAAGGGGGAUCAUCUUGUGUAGCACAUCCGUGUCCCUUCUACAAGAUGAACUAACUAGACUAACUUGGUCUUUAACUAGUUGGCUAAAUUUCUUAAACUUUGUGAAACUCUUUCUUCUCUCAUUUGCAAG